rnacentral:misc_RNA from 1 species
GGAAGAUGACAUUGGAUCUGAGAAGAGUCCAGGGAGAAUUACUAGUUUAACUGAACUUGAUCCAAAGGUUCAAGCAGUUAUUUUAUUAAGUGAUGCAUAUGGUGCUGAAGGUGAGCUUGGUAUUCUUCUAUCUGAGAAGUUCAUGGAGCACGACGCGUAUUGUAUGUUUGACGGUCUGAUGAGUGGAGCUGGUGGUGCUGUUUCUAUGGCACAAUUUUUCUCUCCUGCACCAUAUGGUACUUCGCAUACUGGAUAUCCCCCUGUUAUUGAAGCCUCAGCAGCAUUAUACCAUUUACUUUCGCUGGUUGAUUCCUCCCUCCACAGUCAUCUUGUCGAGUUAGGAGUUGAACCGCAAUAUUUUGCUCUUCGCUGGUUACGAGUACUAUUUGGACGUGAAUUUGCACUUGAAGACUUAUUGAUAAUCUGGGAUGAAAUAUUUGCGUGCGACAACAAGAAGUUGGGAAAACCUUGUGAAAAUGAUGGCGACUCCAGCUCUGGAGUCUUAAAUUCAUCCAGGGGAGCAUUUAUAUCAGCUUUUGCAGUUACUAUGAUACUUCAUUUGAGGUCUUCGUUGCUUGCGACAGAGAAUGCUACUAAGUGCCUCCAGAGAUUGCUAAAUUUUCCAGAAGAUAUAAAUCUGGGUAAACUGAUAGCCAAGGCAAAAUCAUUGCAGGCUCUGGCAAUGGAUGCCAAUAAUUCAGCCCCAAUAAUUGAUUAUACUGGAGACUAUGGUAGAAAUCAGUCAACGGUUAUAAGAGGUCACAGCCAUUCAGUUGAUUUAAGUUCCCCAAGAACUCCACUUGGCUCCUUAGUACCUGAAAGCUACUGGGAAGAAAAGUGGAGAGUUUUACACAAGGAAGAAGAGAGCAAGAAAAAUAGUGCUGAGAAACAAGUUCCAACCCGAAGAAAAGGUUGGUCUGAGAAAGUGAGAAUGCGUCUUACCAGAACUGAGUCUGAUCCAACCCCAUCUACAGUUGAUAAUGGAAGAAAGGUUUCCAAGUCAUCAGUGAGGAGGAGUUUGUUGAAAGAUCUUGCUCAGCAGCUUGGCGCCGAUGAAGAUGCAGAAAAAUUUGUUGAUGAUGAAAUUAAGGAGCAAGAAGUUCCAGUUGACGUUGUCGGGCAAGAAGAUAAUGAUGGAAAUUUUACUUGCACAUCUGAACAGUCGGGCUGCACUGGAAGUGCCGUUAGUGAACAGAAUUCUUCUAUAUUCUCAGAUCCCCAAAGUCCUGUUAGUGAUGCAAAUGAUCAUGAAAAUAGAUCUGAAAGAAGUAGUGUUGCAUCAAAUUUCUCUGCCGAUGAAAAUGAUGCUGAUGGCUAUAGUGCUGAGGUAUCUUGUACUAAUCUGGAAGUUCCACCUCUCCCUGGUUCUGAUCCCCCUCAGGAGACCUCGGAAAAAUUGGAACAAAGUGUUGAUUCUGGAGAAAAAGGUCCAGCUGGCUUGAAGGAGCGGAAACUUCUAUCUGGUAAAUUUCAGUGGUUAUGGAAAUUUGGACGAAAUGGUGGGGAGGGGACAUCCGAAAAAGGGGUCUGUGAUUCCACAAAAGCUGACAAUUGUGGGAAUAAUCCCGGUGAUCCUGCUGUAUUGUCCACCGCUGAUACAUCUAAUAACAGCGGAAUUAGCAAAGGAGAAUCUGUAGAUCAGAAUUUAAUGGUUAGUCUGAGAAAUCUCGGCCAGUCUAUGCUUGAGAACAUCCAGGUGAUUGAAUCAGUCUUUCAGCAAGAUCGCGGUCAAGUUGGAACCUUAGAAAACCUUUCGAAAAAUGUUCUAGCUGGUAAAGGACAAGUAACAGCCAUGGCAGCUCUGAAAGAGCUUCGGAAAAUCAGUAACCUCCUCUCGGAGAUGUAAGGAGUCGUAGAGUUCGUUAAGUCUGUUCAUAGGUCUAGUAAUUAAAAUGUUGCAAUUGCAGAAUAAUCAAAGUCUUAUUCGGCUUCUCAUAUCUCAACUGUGAGCGAUUCAAAAUUUUGAUAUGUAUCC